GACGAACGCUGGCGGCGUGCUUAACACAUGCAAGUCGAACGGAAAGGCCCUGCUUUUGUGGGGUGCUCGAGUGGCGAACGGGUGAGUAACGCGUGAGUAACCUGCCCUUGACUUUGGGAUAACUUCAGGAAACUGGGGCUAAUACCGGAUAGGAGCUCCUGCUGCAUGGUGGGGGUUGGAAAGUUUCGGCGGUUGGGGAUGGACUCGCGGCUUAUCAGCUUGUUGGUGGGGUAGUGGCUUACCAAGGCUUUGACGGGUAGCCGACCUGAGAGGGUGACCGGCCACAUUGGGACUGAGAUACGGCCCAGACUCCUACGGGAGGCAGCAGUGGGGAAUAUUGCACAAUGGGCGGAAGCCUGAUGCAGCAACGCCGCGUGCGGGAUGACGGCCUUCGGGUUGUAAACCGCUUUCGCCUGUGACGAAGCGUGAGUGACGGUAAUGGGUAAAGAAGCACCGGCUAACUACGUG
rnacentral:rRNA from 1 species